GGGGAUGCAAUUCAGUGGUAGAGUGCUUGUCUAGAAGACAGGAGGCUCUGGGUUCACUUCUCAGCAACCCUU
rnacentral:tRNA from 1 species